rnacentral:rRNA from 1 species
UGAGGAAUAUUGGGCAAUGCCCGCAAGGGUGACCCAGCAACGCCGCGUGGAGGAUGAAUGUCGUAAGAUUGUAAACUCCUGUUAGAGGGGAAGAAUAGUACCGGUUGGACCGGUAUAUGACUGUACCCUCAGAGAAAGCCCCGGCUAACUACGUGCCAGCAGCCGCGGUAAUACGUAGGGGGCAAGCGUUGUCCGGAUUUACUGGGUGUAAAGGGCGCGCAGGCGGGACAAAAAGUCAGUGGUGAAAGCCUGCAGCUUAACUGCAGAAUUGCCAUUGAUACUGUUAGUCUUGAGUACAGUUGAGGUAGGCGGAAUGUGUCAUGUAGCGGUGAAAUGCUUAGAUAUGACACAGAACACCGAUUGCGAAGGCAGCUUGCUAAGCUGUAACUGACGCUGAGGCACGAAAGCGUGGGGAGCAAACA